rnacentral:rRNA from 1 species
UGGGGAAUAUUGCACAAUGGGGGAAACCCUGAUGCAGCGACGCCGCGUGGAGGAAGAAGGUCUUCGGAUUGUAAACUCCUGUUGUUGAGGAAGAUAAUGACGGUACUCAACAAGGAAGUGACGGCUAACUACGUGCCAGCAGCCGCGGUAAAACGUAGGUCACAAGCGUUGUCCGGAAUUACUGGGUGUAAAGGGAGCGCAGGCGGGAAGACAAGUUGGAAGUGAAAUCCAUGGGCUCAACCCAUGAACUGCUUUCAAAACUGUUUUUCUUGAGUAGUGCAGAGGUAGGCGGAAUUCCCGGUGUAGCGGUGGAAUGCGUAGAUAUCGGGAGGAACACCAGUGGCGAAGGCGGCCUACUGGGCACCAACUGACGCUGAGGCUCGAAAGUGUGGGUAGCAAACAGGAUUAGAUACCCUGGUAGUCCACACCGUAAACGAUGAUUACUAGGUGUUGGAGGAUUGACCCCUUCAGUGCCGCAGUUAACACAAUAAGUAAUCCACCUGGGGAGUACGACCGCAAGGUUGAAACUCAAAGGAAUUGACGGGGGCCCGCACAAGCAGUGGAGUAUGUGGUUUAAUUCGACGCAACGCGAAGAACCUUACCAAGUCUUGACAUCCCUUGACGGUGCUGGAAACAGUACUUCUCUUCGGAGCAAGGAGACAGGUGGUGCAUGGUUGUCGUCAGCUCGUGUCGUGAGAUGUUGGGUUAAGUCCCGCAACGAGCGCAACCCUUAUGGUCAGUUACUACGCAAGAGGACUCUGGCCAGACUGCCGUUGACAAAACGGAGGAAGGUGGGGAUGACGUCAAAUCAUCAUGCCCUUUAUGACUUGGGCUACACACGUACUACAAUGGCGUUAAACAAAGAGAAGCAAGACCGCGAGGUGGAGCAAAACUCAGAAACAACGUCCCAGUUCGGACUGCAGGCUGCAACUCGCCUGCACGAAGUCGGAAUUGCUAGUAAUCGUGGAUCAGCAUGCCACGGUGAAUACGUUCCC